AGCAACUUAAUUUCUCCAAACAUCAUUUCCUUGUCUAUAGAAGAAUGGAAUUUAUAUGACUUUUUUUGGUAAAGUUCUAAGAUCCUAUCAUUUUGGAGAUUCUUAUGUUCAAUUAGCCUUUGUUCAGUGUCUGCUAUGUGCUAGGCACUAUUCUAUGUACUAUGGACACUUUAUAGUGUAGUAAAGCACAAUGGGGAGGAUUUCAAGCCAACUUAAAGGAGAAGGUAAAUAAAAUACCUAGGAUUGUAUGGUAAGUUUAUGUUUAGCUAUGUAAGAAACUGCCAAACUGUCUUCCAUCGUGACUACCAUUUUGCAUUCCCAGCAGCAAUCUAUGAGAAUUCCAAUUUCUCUACAUUUUCACUAGCAGUACAUAAUGCCAGUCUUUUAUAUUUUAGCCAUUCUCCUAAGUGUAUAGUGGUAUCUCAUCAUGGGUUGAAUUUGCAUUCCCCUAAUGGCUAAUGAUGUGAAGAUAUUUUUACCUAAUUAGUUGCCAUCCAUAUAUCCUCUUUCAUAAAUAAUUUUAAUUGGGUUAUUUUCUUACCCUUGAGUUUUUGUGUUUCUAGCAUACAGAUCCUAUGCAGGUUUUGUUAGAUUUAGAUCUAUUUCAUUUCGGAGCUCUUUUGGGUGAUUUAUUUUCUUAAAUUAUGGUUGUUAAUUGUCCACUACUGGCAUAUAGAAGUGUGAUUGGUUUUUGUGUAUUGACCUUGUAUUCUGCAACCUUGAUCAAUUUAUUAGCUUUAAAAACUUUUUCUGUAGAUUCCUUGGAAUUUUUUACAUAGACAAUCAUGUUAUAUGUGAACAGGAACAGUUUCAUUUCUUCUUGUCCACUCUAUAUGCCGUUUAUUUGUUUGUUUCCUUAUUGUACUUGCUUUAUUUCCUAAGAUGCGCAAUAAAGGAAUGUAGAAGAACGUUGGAAGAGAAGCAUUCUCACCUAUUGCUGAUCUUAACAGGACAGAUGGGGUUUCACCACAUAGGCCAGGGUGGCCUUGAACUACUGAGCUCAGGUGAUCCACCCACCUUGGCCUCCCAAAGUGUUGUGAUUACAUGUGUGAGCUAUUGCACCUGGCCUAAAUGCCUUCAAUUUUAUUUAAAAAUUGUUAGUUCUGUUUGAAUAAGGGAGCAUUCUAAGACAAAACCCAGUUAUCUUUUUUGCAGCAAACCAACAGGAAGUGUCUGAGUAUUUUUCCUAGGACUGCAUUUGUUCGAUUAUUUGUCACCAAAUCUAUUGCAAAGCAUUUAGAUUCAUGAAUUGUCAAACACGGUUCUAAAUCUAUAAAUAAAAUAGAAGAGUCACGUUAUGAUAGUCACUACUGGUUGCUUCCUGACUUUCAAACUUGUCAUUCUUCAAGUGAUCUCAAAAUGUGUGCAGUUAAUGGGCUCCUGCUAUACUGUAAAUGGCUAUCAAAUGCUUUAUGAAUUUAGCUCUGCCCCUUGAAGAAAAUUGAGUAUAUUCAUUUUCUAUUUUUGAAUAAUAAAUUAGCCUAAAACUUGGCAACUUAAAACAGCAAGCUUUAUCUCACAACUUCUGUGUCAGGAAUCUGGGUAUACACCUUUGCUAAGAUUCUUUGACUAGGGUUUCCUACAAGGUUGUAAUCAAGGUGUCACCUGGGCUGCAGUCAUUUCAGG
ensembl:lncRNA